CAGCAUGUUUCCAAGGGCUUUGGCUGAGUUAUAGUCAUGGAAUCUCCAACUAUAUCACAGAGUGAAAUGGAGAUACUUUGACAGCUCAGGUCAGCACAGUACCCGUGGCUGUUACUCAUUUUUCUUGGAAGG